GUCGUGAGAUGUUGGGUUAAGUCCCGCAACGAGCGCAACCCUUGUCUUUAAUUGCCAGCAUUCAGUUGGGCACUUUAAAGAGACUGCCGGUGUUAAGCCGGAGGAAGGUGGGGAUGACGUCAAGUCCUCAUGGCCUUUAUGCCCAGGGCUACACACGUGCUACAAUGGGUGGUACAAAGAGAUGCCAACUCGCGAGAGCGCGCCAAUCUCAGAAAGCCAUCCUCAGUUCGGAUUGGAGUCUGCAACUCGACUCCAUGAAGUUGGAAUCGCUAGUAAUCGCGGAUCAGCACGCCCGCGGUCCGAAUACGUUCCGGGCCUU
rnacentral:rRNA from 1 species